rnacentral:lncRNA from 1 species
ACACUAGCUGUCUGUGUCAAGGCCACGCAGAAAUCUAUUGGAAAUCGCUGUGGAAACAAACGCAAAUGAAAAGCCGCAAAGAGCAAAGUUGCAGGCAACAGAAGCCAACUCUGGGUAACAAGCAAAAAGGGAAGGAGAAGGAUGCAAGGGCUGCUCAGAGAAUAGAUAAUAUAAUAAAUAUUAAUGACAAUAAUAUGAGACUGAAGACACCACAUGGCUGCUCACUGGCCCGUCUCCUCUCAUGACUGCUGCUCUGGGAACCACCUCUCUGCUCUCCAUCGCUACCACUCUAGCCUGUGGCCUGCUCCUGGUUGAAGAAGCCAUCAAUGAAAAUGAAUACCACUCUGGAAAUCUUGGGUGGUCUGACCUGAUAUUUUCGCAUAGUGGCCACAGAUAUUUUAGGCCCCCAAGAGGUAGUCUUACUCUUUCAAUUUUACUGGCUCCACUGUUUGAGGAACUUGGAACAAUUUCCCCAGGGACUGGUCUGGAGGUACUGUUGAAUAACACCACGGUGUUUUUUUUCCUCUCCACCAAGGGCCCGUUGAUGUCUCAAGACCAGACAUAAAACUUUUGGUGCUCAAGUCACUCAGAAUGAGAGUCCUGCUUUCCCUCAGCACUCUUGCCCUUUGAGGGUGGGGCCAAAUGUUUUCUUCCUUUCUUACUGAGGACUUUUGAUCCUGGUUUUUGAUAUUUGUCAUUCCCAGGGGGAAUUUUGUACCCUGUGUCUUGGUAAAGUGUAAGACCACUGUGG